AGUGGACGCUGGCGGUAGGCCUAACACAUGCAAGUCGAACGGCAGCACAGUAAGAGCUUGCUCUUACGGGUGGCGAGUGGCGGACGGGUGAGGAAUACAUCGGAAUCUACUUUUUCGUGGGGGAUAACGUAGGGAAACUUACGCUAAUACCGCAUACGACCUACGGGUGAAAGCAGGGGAUCUUCGGACCUUGCGCGAUUGAAUGAGCCGAUGUCGGAUUAGCUAGUUGGCGGGGUAAAGGCCCACCAAGGCGACGAUCCGUAGCUGGUCUGAGAGGAUGAUCAGCCACACUGGAACUGGGACACGGUCCAGACUCCUACGGGAGGCAGCAGUGGGGAAUAUUGGACAAUGGGCGCAAGCCUGAUCCAGCCAUACCGCGUGGGUGAAGAAGGCCUUCGGGUUGUAAAGCCCUUUUGUUGGGAAAGAAAAGCGGCAGGUUAAUACCCCGCUGUUCUGACGGUACCCAAAGAAUAAGCACCGGCUAACUUCGUG
rnacentral:rRNA from 1 species